UCAGCACAAUCCGGAACCUCCCACAUGCAAAGGGGUGCUGAUGUCGGGGGAAACCCUCCCAUACGAGUGGGAUAGAGAGAAAGACAAAGACCGGACGACUAAAGCGCCCCAGGUGGGCGCUUUUAGUUU
rnacentral:sRNA from 1 species